ensembl:lncRNA
AAUGCAUUGCACACACAACAGUGCUGCGUUGCAUGAUGUUUACAUUGUAUGUUUAUCUCACAUCUUAUGAAAAGGCUGAAUAUUUAGUAAAUAUUUGCUAAAAAUAAUAAUUUAACCCAUUUCCUCAGUAACAUUUAAGAGAACUAGUAAUAUUUAUGUAAAAAUAACUAAUUUUUAUAGUCAAUUGCAUAGUCUUCCUGACAUCACAGUCAUGAUGACACACACACAAAAAAAUGACCAUAACCUUAUAAUAACAUUAAUAAAUAACUUGACAUACAUUAUAUAGUAUAAAUUAAAAAAUAUUUCUCCUAUCCUGCUUUACUGUGCAAAGACAUUGCGUUAUGUAAUUACUGAGUUUCUGGAGAUAUCAAAAUUAUGGCCUGUAGCUUGUUUAAAUCUGGCUCCAAAUGUUUCAGAAUAUACCACAACCUUUACGCCUCAGCAGCAGUGAACAUGAACAGAAUUUGCAUUAUUUUGUCUCAAACUGCAGGUCUUUCACAGGGGAGGCAGAGGCGCUUUCUGAUGAUGGCACCAGAAAUUCUACAACUGACCGGACUGAUGACAAACUAUGCUUGCAGUCGACCCCAUGACUGGAGGAUAUAUAUGAGACAACGAGAUGCUCAAUUCAUUCUGAGGUCUGGGAACUCUCUGAAAAUGGGAUGUUAGGACUGAGAGACCCUCUGGCCGAGAAAAAGCUACACCACAUCGGUGCUGGAUGUCAACCACAAACUGUUUACAGACACGAGAGAAGAAGAUCAUGAUGGGGAAAUGGACGGGGAAGAGCAAGAAACCAGUUUAGAUGUGAUAAGGAAUCAUUAUUUUCUGAAACAGUAUCAAAUGUCUUAUAUGUAUCACAUGAUCUGCAUCACAGGUGACUGGAUGGGAUUGUUUGACUUUUAAGGACAUUUCAUUACUCAUCUGUGUGAACUGAUUAAUUUAGGAUAUUAAUGAAUUUUUUAUGAUCCAUUAUUAUUUUCCUUGAAUCUCAUUUGUCUUGAUGCUACUUUAUCAACUUUAUAGUCUAUGCUUCAAUAAAAUGAAUAUGGUGAAUUUUGUGUAUUUAAAA